rnacentral:tRNA from 1 species
CAGAGAAUAGUUUAUAAAAAAUAUUAAUUUUGGAGAUUAAUGAUGAGGGUUUCCUUUUCUCUGA